rnacentral:rRNA from 1 species
AACGAACGCUGGCGGCGUGGAUAAGACAUGCAAGUGGUACGCUGGCUGUCGGGUAGCAAUAUUCGGCAGUUGGAGUCGCGUUAUGGUGCGUAACACGUGGGUAAUCUACCGCGAAGACUGGAAUAACUUGCUGAAAGGCGAGCUAACACCGGAUGUGAAUGUUGAGGGGCAUCCCUUGAUGUUCAAAGUCGGGGACCGUAAGGCCUGACACUUUGUGAUGAACCCGCGGCCUAUCAGCUAGUUGGUGAGGUAACGGCCCACCAAGGCUUAGACGGGUAGCUGGUCUGAGAGGACGACCAGCCACACUGGAACUGAGACACGGUCCAGACACCUACGGGAGGCUG